rnacentral:lncRNA from 1 species
CAAACUUCACUUUUCAUAGCUGUAAAAGCUCAUGAGUGAUUGUGAUUGGGAACAGUUCUUAUUAAGGAAAAGUGAAAAUUAACUUGUGGGUUAACACAGCAAUAAGAAGAAGAGAAGAUGUUAAGAAUAAUACACUUGUUAUGGUGGAGAGUGAAGAGGAAACACUGAUCUUUGGCUUUAGGGACUGAUCGAGUGAGGUUUUCUGCCCUAGGAUACACCCAGUCAGGAAGCAGUGACUGUGGUCUGUUCCAAUCACGCCUGCAGAUCUGGCCGGGCUAGAAUCCGUUAGUUGAACGACUUAGCCAUUUAGCAGAGACCAGCUGGUUUCUCACAAAAUCCAUUUCCUGUUCUUGAGCAGUCCCAUAAGCUACAUUUUUCUGCCUCCCUUGCAGUAAUGUAUCACCAUAUAGCUGAGUUCUUUUCUCCCACAUGCUGCUGUUCAUCCCCUUUCCCCAUCUGCAAGCUGGAUGUGGAGGACUCUGAGGUCUUAGAAAAUGAUGAAGAAAUAUAUGAAAGGACCGUGGACCCCAGAAUGACCACGUGGAAUGUUUACUGGUGACCAGGAAUACACAUUUUGAACAUAGGCCUUGGAACUUGCAUUGAAAUACACCAGUGGCUUUCCUCAUUCUCCAGUGUGUCAGUAUAUUGGACUUCUCAGACUCCAUGAUUACAAAGGCAGAAGAAGCUCUCCAGAUGUCUUCCAGUAACGUUGAAGUUUUUAUCAGAAUGUUGCAAGGAAACACCAAUUGGGUCACCUGGGAUGACCUUCAAUGACCUGAAGACAUUUACUGAAGGAGCUGUGUUAAGUUUUUUAACAUCUUCUAUUGAGUAAAAGUGAAAAGCAGCUUUUUACUUGGUUGAAACCAAUUGAGAAAGAAAUUCUAUCAAAUAUCAAGUAUGUGCAUGAACUUUUAAAAAGACAAUUUUAUUGACCUAUAUUGAACUUCAUAAGUUUUGCCUAUUAACAAUAAAGCUACUGUGAGCAUUUUUGUACAAGUCUUUACAGAAAUAUACAGACAUGUGCUUUCAUUUCUUUUGGCUAAGCUAGGAGUGAAAUGGUUGUAUCACAUGUUAGGUGUAUGUUUAGCUCUCAAAAGAACUGCCAAACUUUUUAAAAGAAGUGGCUGUACCGUGUGCAUCAACUUUUUUUUUUUUUUUUAUACUUUAAGUUUUAGGGUACAUGUGCACAUUGUGCAGGUUAGUUACAUAUGUAUACGCUGGUGCGCUGCACCCACUAACUCGUCAUCUAGCAUUAGGUAUAUCUCCC